CCAGCUCGUUCAACACAGCAGACGCAGACGCAGAUCUCAGAGCAGUGGAUGUUUCCUCUUUUCAUCUCAUCACAAGAUCAUACAAAGGUUAAAUGUAAGAGAAAUUGAUGAAUGGGAGAAUAUAUACUGUAUAUAUAUGGAGCAUCACAAACUGCAGAAGAAUUAAACACAUGGAGAAGAGAAAAAGAGAAAAAUGGCGAACAAAAAGGACAAACAAUCUAAAGAACCAAAGACACCAAGUCUAGUCCGACAGAACAGCAUUAAUAGUGGCAGACCAAACUUUUCUGACAUUGCAGAGUUUCAGAAAAGUCACAGACAAGAUGAAAAAGAUUGACACAUCAUAUACAGAAAGCAAAGGAUGCAGCGGUUCUGUUCAUCUAACCAGCAGAAUAUUCUCCAUCAUGUUCAGACACUGAUUAAACAAUGUAUAGCGGAAUAUGUAUAAAUGUUUGUUAUAUUUAUAAAGUACAUGUUUAGAUUUCAUGAGUACACUACAUAUUCUGAAUGAAGCUGAUCUUAAUGUGACUUUUACAAUAAUCAUUGAUGUGAUCAGUGUUUUUGCUGUAUGCUACUGUAUGAUUUAAUGUACAUAAUUUUUAGAAUUAAAAUUUUACUGUAACAAAUCUAAAACUCCUGCAAUUCGAAAUUC